rnacentral:rRNA from 1 species
GAUGAACGCUGGCGGCGUGCUUAACACAUGCAAGUCGAACGAUGAACCCCACUUGUGGGGGGAUUAGUGGCGAACGGGUGAGUAACACGUGAGUAACCUGCCCUUGACUCUGGGAUAAGCCUGGGAAACUGGGUCUAAUACCGGAUAUGACUUGUCACCGCAUGGUGGUGGGUGGAAAGCUUUUGUGGUUUUGGAUGGACUCGCGGCCUAUCAGCUUGUUGGUGGGGUAAUGGCCUACCAAGGCGACGACGGUUAGCCGGCCUGAGAGGGUGACCGGCCACACUGGGACUGAGACACGGCCCAGACUCCUACGGGAGGCAGCAGUGGGGAAUAUUGCACAAUGGGCGCAAGCCUGAUGCAGCGACGCCGCGUGAGGGAUGAAGGCCU